GCUCGUCGUCCCUAUCAGUCCUUUGAUCUUCCGUUGCCCCUUCAGGUAGAGGAAGGUCCUUCCCUUGCCUGCUGUGAGUUCCUUGCCCUCCGUGGGACGAGAUGUAUAUAUUUUUUGUACUUUUUUCUUUUGCUAGUUUCUUUGGAUCUGUUGCAUGUUGUUGAAGUGGGUUAAGCUUGUGCUCUUAGGAGAAUGUUAUUUUAGCUACUGCGUGAGCGGGAUGGGUCUUCACUUUUUCCCCUUUUGUCAAUCUCUUUCUUGAGCCUCUGUAUGCUUGAUCUUGUCUAUGGGAGGGUGCGUUCCCUUUAGACCUUUACAAAGGUAUCUCAGGAGUCUGUAAGCUAACCACUCCUCGAGUUUGCUAACUAUAAGGCAAAGAGAGUCAUUGAAUGUUGGUUUGCGAUACGGUUUGCGGCAAGCACCUA
rnacentral:misc_RNA from 1 species